rnacentral:rRNA from 1 species
AUUGAACGCUGGCGGCAGGCCUAACACAUGCAAGUCGAACGGUAACAGAAAGCAGCUUGCUGCUUUGCUGACGAGUGGCGGACGGGUGAGUAAUGUCUGGGAAACUGCCUGAUGGAGGGGGAUAACUACUGGAAACGGUAGCUAAUACCGCAUAACGUCGCAAGACCAAAGAGGGGGACCUUCGGGCCUCUUGCCAUCGGAUGUGCCCAGAUGGGAUUAGCUUGUUGGUGGGGUAACGGCCCACCAAGGCGACGAUCCCUAGCUGGUCUGAGAGGAUGACCAAGCCACAGUGGAAGGGAGCCAGGUUCCGGAUGCUACGGGGGGGCAGGGGGGGGAAUGUUGGCCAAUGGGGGGGAGCCUGGUGGAGGCCAGGCGGGGGGAAGGAAGAGGGCCUUGGGGUUGUAAGGAACUUUAGCGGGGGGGGAGGGGGUAAAGUUAAUACCUUUGCUCAUUGACGUUACCCGCAGAAGAAGCACCGGCUAACUCCGUG